rnacentral:rRNA from 1 species
AUUGAACGCUGGCGGAAUGCUUUACACAUGCAAGUCGAACGGUAACAGGUCUUCGGAUGCUGACGAGUGGCGAACGGGUGAGUAAUGUAUCGGAACGUGCCGAGUAGUGGGGGAUAACGCAUCGAAAGGUGUGCUAAUACCGCAUACGAACUGAGGUUGAAAGUGGGGGACCUUCGGGCCUCACGCUAUUCGAGCGGCCGACGUCUGAUUAGCUAGUUGGUGAGGUAAAGGCACACCAAGGCGACGAUCAGUAGCGGGUCUGAGAGGAUGAUUCACCACACUGGGACUGAGACACGGCCGAGACUCCUACGGGAGGCAGCAGUGGGGAAUUUUGGACAAUGGGCGCAAGCCUGAUCCAGCCAUGCCGCGUGUCUGAAGAAGGCCUUCGGGUUGUAAAGGACUUUUGUCCGGGAGCAAAUGCUGGUGGCUAACAUCCACCGGAGCUGAGAGUACCGGAAGAAUAAGCACCGGCUAACUACGUGCCAGCCGCCGCCGUAA